rnacentral:rRNA from 1 species
UUUAUCGGUAUGGGAUGGGGUCGCGUCCUAUCAGGUAGUCGGCGGGGUAACGGCCCACCGAGCCUAUGACGGGUAGCCGGCCUGAGAGGGCGACCGGCCACAUUGGGACUGAGAUACGGCCCAGACUCCUACGGGAGGCAGCAGUGGGGAAUAUUGCACAAUGGGCGCAAGCCUGAUGCAGCGACGCCGCGUGCGGGAUGACGGCCUUCGGGUUGUAAACCGCUUUUGAUUGGGAGCAAGCGWGAGUGAGUGUACCUUUCGAAUAAGCACCGGCUAACUACGUGCCAGCAGCCGCGGUAAUACGUAGGGUGCAAGCGUUAUCCGGAAUUAUUGGGCGUAAAGAGCUCGUAGGCGGUUCGUCGCGUCUGGUGUGAAAGUCCAUCGCUUAACGGUGGAUCUGCGCCGGGUACGGGCGGGCUGGAGUGCGGUAGGGGAGACUGGAAUUCCCGGUGUAAC